CCAAUUUUCCACCUCCUUUCUCUGCAAUGCUGGUCUGAAGGGAUCGAGCGGGACAAUAUAGUCAGUCAGAGGUUUUCUUUGAAAUCCACAUUCUGUAAAUGUUUGCUUUCUCAACCUCAAAGCACUAUGUUGUCAAUCCACCACUUCUGCUCUUGUCUGAGUUUGAACUUCAAGAUUACUAUGCGAUAAUUAGAGCCUCAAGAGCCUGAAACUCAAUUGAAAUAUUUUUAUGAUGCAGUUGAUCGCACGGUCGGACACAACUAACAGAUGCCUGCAAAUGGUGGAAAACAAUUUAGUAGCUUGUCGGGAAAACGCUCUGAUGGUUAGUUAGCAAAGAGAGUUGGGAGUUGGAGUAGAUUUGGAAAUUUGUAUAUGAGAGAAUGGUUGAAUGGUACCAGGGCCGGCUCAAUGAAUUUAGAGGCCUUAGGCCAAAUUUUGAGAUGAGGCCUUAUUAUUUUUUUGUAAG